GUGGGGAAUUUUGGACAAUGGGCGCAAGCCUGAUCCAGCAAUGCCGCGUGCAGGAAGAAGGCCUUCGGGUUGUAAACUGCUUUUGUACGGAACGAAAAGGCUCUGGUUAAUACCUGGGGCUCAUGACGGUACCGUAAGAAUAAGCACCGGCUAACUACGUGCCAGCAGCCGCGGUAAUACGUAGGGUGCAAGCGUUAAUCGGAAUUACUGGGCGUAAAGCGUGCGCAGGCGGCUUUGUAAGACGGAUGUGAAAGCCCCGGGCUCAACCUGGGAAGUGCAUUCGUGACUGCAAGGCUAGAGUGUGUCAGAGGGAGGUGGAAUUCCGCGUGUAGCAGUGAAAUGCGUAGAGAUGCGGAGGAACACCGAUGGUGAAGGCAGCCUCCUGGGAUAACACUGACGCUCAGGCACGAAAGCGUGGGGAGCAAACAGGAUUAGAUACCCUAGUAGUCC
rnacentral:rRNA from 1 species